rnacentral:rRNA from 1 species
AGGUAGUACUAAUAUACAAAGAAAACCCAUAUGACAUGGCGGUCCUUAUUUAUUAGAGGAACUCGCCUCAUAAUCGACAACCCCCGAUCAAUAUCACCCAAUCUAUUAAGCUUAUAUACCGCCGUACAGAGCCAGCCCAAAAGCACGACUCAAGAAGGGAACUACCCUACAAUUCAGGUCAAGGUGUAGCCUAUGAUUCGGAGAAGGUAAGUUACACUAAAAACUAUUUAAGGAGACUAACCAAAAGAACUAGAAGAAAAAGAAUCCAAAAGUAAGAACAAGACAUAAUCUCGAUCAGAAAGAUAAAAUAAGGAUGC